UGUGGGAGGGGGCUUGCUCCCGAUAGCGGUGGAUCAGUCAGUACAUCUGUCACUGACCCACUGCUAUCGGGGGCAAGCCCCCUCCCACA
rnacentral:misc_RNA from 1 species